rnacentral:rRNA from 1 species
GAUGAACGCUGGCGGCGUGCCUAAUACAUGCAAGUCGAGCGAACGGACGAGAAGCUUGCUUCUCUGAUGUUAGCGGCGGACGGGUGAGUAACACGUGGAUAACCUACCUAUAAGACUGGGAUAACUUCGGGAAACCGGAGCUAAUACCGGAUGAUAUUUUGAACCGCAUGGUUCAAAAGUGAAAGACGGUCUUGCUGUCACUUAUAGAGGGAUCCGCGCUGCAUUAGCUAGUUGGUAAGGUAACGGCUUACCAAGGCAACGAUGCAUAGCCGACCUGAGAGGGUGAUAGGCGACACUGGAAGUGAGCCACGGUCCAGACUCCUACGGGAGGCAGCAGUAGGGAAUCUUCCGCAAUGGGGGAAAGCCUGACGGAGCAACGCCGCGUGAGUUAUGAAGGUCUUCGGAUCGUAAAACUCUGUUAUUAGGGAAGAACAUAUGUGUAAGUAACUGUGCACAUAUUGACGGUACCUAAUCAGAAAGCCACGGCUAACUACGUG